UCAAACAAUUAAAUAUUAAUUCUCAUUUCACUUCUUCUCAGCCAACAGAAAGAAGGCAGAUGCCCCUAAAACAGGGGGAGGACCUGCACCACCACCACUCACAAGUGCAGAAGAGAUGGCCCUGAGCCUGAACACCGGCAGGCCUGUGGCUGAGGGAAUUCCUGGAGGGAGCUCAUCAGAGCCAGUCACUCCCCAGAAGUGACUUCAUAAAAUGUAAGAUGCUUUUCUGAUAUUUCCAUUUAUUUCAAUUUGGGUUGGGUUUUUUGUUUGUCCCAACAGAUUCUAAUGGUAAUAUAUGCCUUUUUGAGCCUCCUGUCACACUCACAACAGAACCCCAGGCAGUUGAUGAUGAGGAUGAUGAAACCACCUCUGCCACAGAGAGGCCUACAGAGAAUGUGGAAGAACAGCAGAAGGAGGGUCUAUCAAAUUCUGCUGCACAGAUGAACACAGUUCAGUGAUGUUCAGUAAAUGCCAGAGUUUAAUUUUGUACAAGUCAUGUACAACUAUAUCAUGUAACUUUAAGCUACUGUAUUUUCAGUUACCAGUUAAAGAGUGUGGUAGAUUUUUCCCUACGCACCUGACUUAGUUAAACCUGGGUGUCCCCGACACCAUAAACCAAUAAACCUGGGUGUCCCUGACACCAAAAAACCAAUAAAUUUAUACUCUACUGAGCGUACUUCAGUACCUGUUCGAGUCGGCCGACGUCUCGGCCUGUUUUGGGGGCCUAUCACCUGAUACUAAGCUCUUUAGUGCUCCCCACCGGCACUAUCACCUGAUAAUAAGCUCUUUAGUGCUCCUCACCACUAAACACUAUCACUAUAGUAUGGAAAGAGUUCUCUAGUGCUUAGUUGUUUGCUGCAGCCUAAAAACCAGACAGACUCCAGACUAUGCCUCAGAAUAUGCUUUAAUCACGGCCGGGAGAGUUCUCAUCA